UAAUAUCAAUUUUCUAUACAUCUGAUCGACUGCCAGUCUGGCCAUCCAAUAUUGAAUCAUCCAUCCAUUUCUCUCACUCACUCACUCACUCACUCACUCCUACUCUUCAUUCUUCGCCAUCCAAAUCAAUUAUCACCCAGAAAUUAAACAUGUCUGAGAGCCUCGCCGCCGAUGAAAUAGUGGCGGAGCUUUGCAACGACAUCCAGGAGCAGAACAAGCAGCUGGACGAGGCCUAUGCGGAGAUCGGAGAGCAUCGACGCCAUGGACAAGCAGCUCAAAGAAAAGGACAAGGAGAUCGCCGAGUUUAAGAAGUGGGUUACUAAACGACGCCUUGAAAUUCGAAUUAUACGGCGCCCUACAUUCCUUAUAAUCUAAACGUCCAUUUCGUAAAAAUGAAAAAAG
rnacentral:lncRNA from 1 species